UCCCGCUCCGCAUCCCGCCCAGCGGCGCAGGGGGCCGGGCUCCGGCGAGAGGGGUGGGGGCCGCGCGGGUGACAGCCGCUCCCCUCCCCUACUGCCCGCCACGUCCCUCACGUACCACUCGGCAGAGGCGCGGGGAAACGCGGCGCCCGGGCUCUGGCUUCUCUAGAGGGGCUCGGCAUGAGGCUGGCGCGGCUGCUUCGCGGAGCUGCCUUGGCCGUCCCGGGCCAGGGGCUGCGCGCCGCCUGCCCGAGCCGCACCUUCAGCUCGGACUCGGGCUCCGGCCCAGCGUCCGAGCGCGGCCUUCCGGGCCAGGUGGACUUCUACGCGCGCUUCUCACCGUCCCCGCUCUCCAUGAAGCAGUUCCUGGACUUCGGAUCAGUGAAUGCUUGUGAAAAGACCUCAUUUAUGUUUCUGCGGCAAGAGUUGCCUGUCAGACUGGCAAAUAUAAUGAAAGAAAUAAGUCUCCUUCCAGAUAAUCUUCUCAGAACACCAUCCGUUCAAUUGGUACAAAGCUGGUAUAUCCAGAGUCUUCAGGAGCUUCUUGAUUUUAAGGACAAAAGUGCUGAGGAUGCUAAAGCUAUUUAUGACUUUACAGAUACUGUGAUACGGAUCAGAAACCGACACAAUGAUGUCAUUCCCACAAUGGCCCAGGGUGUGAUUGAAUACAAGGAGAGCUUUGGGGUGGAUCCUGUCACCAGCCAGAAUGUUCAGUACUUUUUGGAUCGAUUCUACAUGAGUCGCAUUUCAAUUAGAAUGUUACUCAAUCAGCACUCUUUAUUGUUUGGGGGAAAAGGCAAAGGAAGUCCGUCUCAUCGAAAACACAUUGGAAGCAUAAAUCCAAACUGCAAUGUAGUUGAAGUUAUUAAAGAUGGCUAUGAAAAUGCUAGGCGUCUGUGUGAUUUGUAUUAUAUUAACUCUCCCGAACUAGAACUUGGAGAACUAAAUGCAAAAUCACCAGGACAGCCAAUACAAGUGGUUUAUGUACCAUCCCAUCUCUAUCACAUGGUGUUUGAACUUUUCAAGAAUGCAAUGAGAGCCACUAUGGAACACCAUGCCAACAGAGGUGUUUACCCCCCUAUUCAAGUUCAUGUCACGCUGGGUAAUGAGGAUUUGACUGUGAAGAUGAGUGACCGAGGAGGUGGUGUUCCUUUGAGGAAAAUUGACAGACUCUUCAACUACAUGUAUUCAACUGCACCGAGACCUCGUGUUGAGACUUCCCGCGCGGUGCCCCUGGCUGGUUUUGGUUAUGGAUUGCCCAUAUCACGUCUUUACGCACAAUACUUCCAAGGAGACUUGAAGUUGUAUUCCCUAGAGGGUUACGGGACAGAUGCAGUUAUCUACAUUAAGGCUUUGUCAACAGACUCAAUAGAAAGACUCCCAGUGUAUAACAAAGCUGCCUGGAAGCAUUACAACACCAACCACGAGGCUGAUGACUGGUGCGUCCCCAGCAGAGAACCCAAAGACAUGACGACGUUCCGCAGUGCCUAGACACACUUGGGACAUCUGGAAAAUCCAAAUGUGGCUUUUGUAUUAAAUUUGGAAGAAUGUAGAUAUAAGCCCACAUCAGACUCGCUAAAUCAGAGUCUCAGGAGGUGGGCCCAGGGAAUAUGAUGGUCGGAUACCCUGUGAAGUUGAAGGACCCUUGGUGGUGAUCACUCUUGGUAAGCCAGCUUCUUGGUCAGGACAGAUGGGACUUCAAGGCCACCACAUUGAGGCGCAUAUGCUGAAAAGAGGCAAACUGUAAAAUUCAAGCAAGAAACUGCUCAAAAAAUAAUGGAGGCAUGUCAAAAGGACACAGGAGGCAACUAAUGGCCAAAGCAGGGCUAAUUCAAGGACUAAAAUAAACAAUGAUAGUAUUUCAUUGUAGGCCUCAGAAAAAAGUUAAAUAUCCAUGAGUCCAUACUGACAUAAAUAAAUAAUUGAAUGAGUAAAAUAUAAAUAAAGGGAGAUAAUUCAUCCUUAAGAAAGAAUUCCAAUUAAUAAAUGUACAAGGAACGCAGAAACUGGAAACUCACCAUGAAGCGAGCUCUACCGUAAUAAUUGUUGCAGGCAAGAUCCAUUGAUGGAUGCUAAAAUUAGUGGGUGAAAAUUUGAUGAGAAACAGAAUAGUUGCAGAGUUUCAAAGUCUUUACCACACCAGUUUCAAAGUCUUCAAUAUCUUUACCGAUAUUUCUUAGUUUCUAAGGGGAAUACCAUAACUUCACAACAAAGAAACGCAGCAGACACUACCUUUACCAAGAAUCAAGGUGAAUAUCACCAAAAAGAAGACAUAUUCUCACGUACCCACUGAUGUGAUGCACCAAGAAGGAAGGUCACACCACUUUGUAAUAUUCGUGCCAGAAAUGUUUUAGUUUGAUCUAAUCAUGAGAAAAUGCUAGGCAAACCUAAAUUGAAGUACUGAACAGUAACCUUCAAAAGUAUCAAAGUCAUGAAUGACAAAGAAAAAUUUAGAAACUGUCACGGAUUGAAGACUAAGAAGAAAUGAAAACCACGUGCAGCAUGGGAUGCUGACUUGGAUUCUGGACCAGAAAAAGGAUAUUAGUAAGAAACCCAAUAAAAUUUUAAAAAGGUCCACAGUAUAGUUAACAGUAUUGUAACAAUGUUAAUUUCCAGGUUUUGCUAAUUGUCCUAUGGUUAGACGGUAAGACAUUAACCUUAACCUUAAGGGAAGGUCAGUGAAAGAUAUAUAUUGGUAACUGUUUCUUAAUUUUGCAUCUUUUCUGUAAGUUUAAGAUUAUCUCAAAUCAGAAAAAUUUUAAAUGUCAAUGCGCUCUGCCUUGUGGAAAACCCAGUUGCCUAAGCAACUCUACGGCCUCCCUACCUGGCUAUGGAUAAGCGGCAAGGACGGUUUCACCCGGGAGGUUACCCUAAUAGUGGGCAUAGAAAGCAAUACAAGUGCGAAAGUCUGUGAGCUGCAGGGGAUUGGGAUUUUGUCAGCUAUACUCAGUACUGCCUUGUCAUCCCCUUUCCCCAAACCACUACCCCAUAGAUGGACAAAAACAAGCAUGGGAGUCCUCAAAGACUCCAGAGUCAGAAUAUCCUGGAUUUUGGAUAAUAAGGGGCCCUUCUGUAACUCCUGACCAGCUUUUGGAGCUCCCCUGCUAUCUGGCCUGCAGCCCUGCCCACCUGGUGGCUGGAGUCAGCAUGCUUCUGCAACCUGGCAAAGCCCCUCUCCCAUUUUGUGGUCUGGAUGAGGGCUGUGGGCUCUGCUUUAAGGUGAUCAUCUGUCCCGAGGACCGACUUUAAAACUAUUUCUUUAGAGAGCAUUUUAUUGAAUACAAACUCCUUAGGCAGCAGUGUUCACAUUUCCCAGUGUUGAACAAAUGGUGGUUUUUAGUCACACAUUCAUCAUUCCAGGUCUCGCUGAUUCACUUCCAGUGGCCCCUUUUAGGAACCUUUUACUAAUCCCACUAAUAGAAAGAGCUCAUUCCACGCAUUUGGUUAUUUCCCAUUCACAUGGUCAGGCUUACAUUUUAUUUAACUUUCUUUUCAUGUAAGAAGGUGAAAAAGUGCUAAUCCAUAUUUUCCAAGCUCUUGGAUCAUUUGUUGGUCAUUCUGGAAGCAGCGUGGUGGUGAAAUAGGAGAGUUCCCCAAACCCCUUCGCCUGAUGUUUGACAGGGGUGUGGCUCAUCUGUUUGGUCACCAUCACUGCUCAAACCCCUUACGGGAUGGGGAGCAGGCAGCUGGACAAGUGCAGGAACCCAAGUGGGUGUGUGUUACAGUGUGCCCUUUUAGCCUAUCUGUCCACGGGUAGCUUGAGUGUUAACCAGCUCAGUGGACCCUCUGCCUUUCUGUAAGGACAGAGGGCCAGUGUGACAGCUUUCUGUAUCCCAAACUCCUGUCCAGCAUCCUGGAAGAAUCAGGUCGCACAUGGACCUGAAGGAUGAAUGCAGGGGUUUUAUUGCGGUAAAGGUGGCUCUCAGGGGGAUGGAUGUGGAACCAGAAGUGGGGAUGGAGUAGGAAGAUAAUCUUACCAUGGAGUUUGGCCAUCCAGGAGCCAAACUCCUCUCUGACCACCCCCAGCUGAACUCCUCUCAGCGUUCAGGUGCUCCUCUUCUCUCUUUCUGUGCCACAUUGUUCUGCUGUUUAUCUGCUUGUCUUCUCGUCUGCUUAUCUGCUCCUGGAGCUUGGAGUUCGGGGUUUAUAUGCAUGUAGGAUGGGGGGUGGUGGCAGACCAAAAGGUCACUUUUUGGGCAGGAAAACAGAAAUGCCUGUUCCCAUUUAGGGCUGCAGGUCUCCAAGCUUAAGGGUAGGGCUUUUGCCGGGGAACCAUCCUCUUCUACCCAGUGUUUCCCUGUUUUGUCCAUAUUAGUGGGAACUAGCAGAAACUGCAGAGAGAGAUUACAUUGAGUUUGGUUUCUGGUUGUGAUGUUUAUUAAUCUGACCUUGCACAAGUCUUUUUAGGCUUUUGAGUCUCAAUGUCCCUGACUACAAAAAGACAUGAAUAAUACAUGUAAUCUUGGAUUACAUGAAAUAAUGUCUCUGUAGAAUUAGAAAAUAAAUUUCUCAUUUGUCAGAUAAAAUAAAAAUGAUCCAAAACUCACCCAGCCUUAGUGAAGAAGGGAAUGUACAAGUAAAAAGAGUCUUGCACAGAAUGGAAGCUGCCUCUAGACCCAUACAUAUUUUAUUUGGCCAGGAUUGGCCUUUCUUUGGACUGAAAAGGAAAGGAACUAAACCAAGAGCCAGGUCUCAUUAAGACUAAAUUUAAUUAUGUCCUGUUUAGAUAUCAAAGAUAAACUUCCUUCUGUUGCUAACUUGUUUUUACUAAGAUUGUCUUUAAAUUUCUGUUGGGUAACCUUUAACCUUAGCUGACUGGAAGUCAUUAAUGACAUUUUUGGUAAGAAAUGCAGUGGAGCACAUAAAGUUUAUGUUUGAAUAAUUCUUAGUUGUAAAUUAUAUCACCCAUGUUGUGGGGGUGGUAGGUUUUUGUUUGCAUAUUUUUAUUUAUUUUUCCGUCCUCUUUAUGUACAUUGAAAAGCUCCAGGUGAAGAAAAAAAACAUUGAAUCCCUUUUCCUCCCAGCAGCUAUUGAUUUUUAGAGUAAAGAAGUGACUUUGGCUUGUUUUUGACUCAAAUCUAGCAUGAAGCUUGGUUUCUUUGAAGACACACUUUAAACAUGAUAUUCAAUAAAGAUGAGUCAUCUUUCCCUGGAUCUUUAUAGUUUGUCCUCCAUAAACAUCACCUUAUUUGUAUUUGAAGCUUUAUUAUCUGCACUAAAUUCACUACAGAUUGUUUCCAUUUUUCUCUCUUAAAGACCUGACAUUAUCCUCGGGUGCAAUUAGGUAGCUCUAUUUUAGAACAGUGGUUUCAGAAUCUCUAAGUAUUUUUUACACUAAAAUGAUUUACUGAACCUCCAUAUGAUAGUGGCAGAAUCCCACAUUAUGAAAAUACUUUAGCAAUAAGCUACUAUACAUUCAACAUUGUUUUUAGCUGUAAACCCUUGAUUAUCUUAUAGGAGCCUGAUUGAUGUGGUAGUGAGGUGUGGGGUGGGGGACACAUUCUACAGUCCUUUGAUUAAGUCUCAGCUUGUGGUGAGCCUGUGUCCCUGGGCUGUGACCUUUACAAGUGCUUCUUAGCUCUCCCCCAUGCUCCUCCCUUAGAGGAACCUAGAAGAUUGGAGUUGAGUAUUUUUCUUCCCCAGGUUGAUUAGGCUCUGGCAAAACCCAAUUAGGCUAGGCCCUGGUAAAAUAGUUUCCCUUGAAGGCAAGCUUUUUUUAAAGAGAACAAAGCCUCUAGUAUAUUGCAAAAUAGUUCUCCCAUGCGGUUGUAUGUGAUGGCUCAUGCCUGUAAUCCCAGCACUUGGGGAGACUGAGGCAGGAGGAUCCGUUCUUGAGGCCAGG